rnacentral:rRNA from 1 species
GACGAACGCUGGCGGCGUGCCUAACACAUGCAAGUCGAACGGGGUAAUUUCUUCGGAGAUUACUUAGUGGCGAACGGGUGAGUAACGCGUGAGAAACCUGCCUUUCAGUGGGGGACAACAGUUGGAAACGACUGCUAAUACCGCAUAAUGUUAUUUGAGGGCAUCCUAAUGAUACCAAAGCUUUAUGUGCUGAAAGAUGGUCUCGCGUCUGAUUAGCUAGAUGGCGGGGUAACGGCCCACCAUGGCGACGAUCAGUAGCCGGUCUGAGAGGAUGAACGGCCACAUUGGGACUGAGAUACGGCCCAGACUCCUACGGGAGGCAGCAGUGGGGAAUAUUGGGCAAUGGGGGAAACCCUGACCCAGCAACGCCGCGUGAAGGAAGAAGGCCUUCGGGUUGUAAACUUCUUUUAGCAGGGACGAAGGACGUGACGGUACCUGCAGAAAAAGCAACGGCUAACUACGUG